UACGUAGGGUGCAAGCGUUGUCCGGAAUUAUUGGGCGUAAAGAGCUCGUAGGCGGCCUGUUGCGUCCGCUGUGAAAUCCCGGGGCUCAACCCCGGGCUUGCAGUGGAUACGGGCUGGCUAGAGGCAGGCAGGGGAGAACGGAAUUCCUGGUGUAGCGGUGAAAUGCGCAGAUAUCAGGAGGAACACCAAUGGCGAAGGCAGCUCGCUGGGACGUGACUGACGCUGAGACGCGAAAGCGUGGGGAGCAAACAGG
rnacentral:rRNA from 1 species